rnacentral:rRNA from 1 species
GAAAGUAAGCAAGGGCAGACGGUGGAUGCCUUGGCUCUCGGAGGCGACGAAGGACGUGAUAAGCUGCGAAAAGCCCGGGGGAGGCGCAAAUAGCCCUUGAUCCCGGGAUAUCCGAAUGGGGCAACCCGGCAGGCUGAAGGCCUGCCAUCCCGUAAGGGAGGCGAACGUGGGGAACUGAAACAUCUAAGUACCCAUAGGAGGAGAAAAUAAACAAUGAUUCCGUAAGUAGUGGCGAGCGAACACGGAAGAGCCCAAACCCAUGUCGUCUAGGCGACACGGGGGUUGUAGGACCACGACGUGGCAAGAGGAUGGCAAGUGGAACGCCUUGGAAAGGGCGACCGUAGAGGGUGAUAGUCCCGUACACGACUGCCUGCCGAAGCCUAGUGGCAUCCUGAGUAGCGCGGGGCACGAGAAAUCUUGCGUGAAACAGCGGGGCCCAUCCCGUAAGGCUAAAUACUCCCGAGAGACCGAUAGCGAACCAGUACCGUGAGGGAAAGGUGAAAAGAACCCCGAGCAGGGGAGUGAAAUAGACCCUGAACCCGUCUGCCUACAAGCGGUCGGAGCAUAGCAAUAUGUGACGGCGUGCCUUUUGCAUAAUGAACCUACGAGUUACCUUCCCCGGCAAGGUUAAGUACCUAAGGUACGGAGCCGAAGCGAAAGCGAGUCUGAAGAGGGCGGCCAGUCGGGGGGGGUAGACGCGAAACCGAGUGAUCUACCCUUGGCCAGGUUGAAGGUUGGGUAACACCAACUGGAGGACCGGAUGGGUAAGCGUUGAAAAGCUUUCCAAUGAGCUGAGGGUAGGGGUGAAAGGCUAAUCAAACUCGGAGAUAGCUCGUACUCCCCGAAAUGCAUUUAGGUGCAGCCUCUUUAUAGUAUAUCGUGAGGUAGAGCGACUGAUUGGAUGCGAGGGCUUCACCGCCUAUCAAGUCCAGAUAAACUCCGAAUGCGCGAUAUAUAUUUACAGGGAGUGAGGGCGCGGGUGCUAAGGUCCGUGUCCGAGAGGAGAAGAAUCCAGACCACCGGCUAAGGCCCCCAAAUGAUCGUUAAGUUGAACUAACGAGGUCGGAUCGCAGAGACAGCUAGGAUGUUGGCUUGGAAGCAGCCAUUCAUUUAAAGAGUGCGUAACAGCUCACUAGUCGAGCGAUCUGGCGUGGAUAAUAAUCGGGCAUAAACGAUCUGCCGAAGCCGUGGAUGUCGUAAGACAUGGUAGGGGAGCAUUCCAUGCGGCGUCGAAGAUGAGGGAUGACCCUUGUUGGAGCGCAUGGAAAAGCAAAUGUAGGUAUGAGUAACGAUAAGGGGGGCGAGAAACCCCCCCGCCGAAAGACCAAGGUUUCCUGAUCAACGCUAAUCGGAUCAGGGUGAGUCGGGACCUAAGGCAAAGCCGAACGGCGCCGCCGAUGGAAGAAUGGGUUAAUAUUCCCAUACUGCCUCAUGGAGUGACGUGGAGACGGAGAAGUGACAGUCCUGCCGGCUGACGGAAUAGCCGGUUGAAGGGUGUAGAUAUUGAUUCCCGUAGGCAAAUCCGCGGGGAGAGUCGAACCUGACAGUAUACCGAGUACUUGUACGAGGUAAUAUGGACGUAACCAUGCUCCCAAGAAAAUCCGCUAAACUUAUCCAUGCGGCACCCGUACCGUAAACGGACACACGUGGUCGGGUUGAGAAUACUGAGGCGCUCGAGUGACUCACGGUUAAGGAACUAGGCAAAUUGACCCUGUAACUUCGGGAUAAAGGGUCCUCGUCGUAAGGCGAGGCGCAGAGAAUAGGUCCAGGCAACUGUUUAACAAAAACACAUGGCUAUGCUAAAUGGAAACAUGACGUAUAUAGCCUGACACCUGCCCGGUGCUGGAAGGUUAAGAGGAGAUGUCAUCGCAAGAGAAGCGUUGAAUUGAAGCCCCAGUAAACGGCGGCCGUAACUAUAACGGUCCUAAGGUAGCGAAAUUCCUUGUC